GAAAUGCGAUAAGUAAUGUGAAUUGCAGAAUUCAGUGAAUCAUCGAAUCUUUGAACGCACAUUGCGCCCGCCAGAAUUCUGGCGGGCAUGCCUGUUCGAGCGUCAUUUCAACCCUCGAGCUCCCCUUUCGGGGGGAGCCCGGCGUUGGGGACCCGGCGCUAAACAACGCCGGCCCCGAAAUGGAGUGGCGGCCCGUCCGCGGCGACCUCUGCGUAGUAACAACCACUCGCACCGGGACCCGGGCGCGGCCACGCCGUAAAACACCCCACCUUCCGAAUGUUGACCUCGAAUCAGGUAGGAAUACCCGCUGAACUUAAGC
rnacentral:misc_RNA from 1 species